rnacentral:rRNA from 1 species
AUUGAACGCUGGCGGCAGGCCUAACACAUGCAAGUCGAACGAGUGGCGGACGGGUGAGUAAUGUCUGGGAAACUGCCCGCUGGAGGGGGAUAACUACUGGCAACGGUAGCUAAUACCGCAUACCAUCGGAUGUGCCCAGAUGGGCUUAGCGAGUAGGUGGGGUAAAGGCUAACCUAGGCGACGAUCCCUAGAUGGUCUGAGAGGAGGACCAGCCAAACUGGAACUGAGACACGGUCCAGACUCCUACGGGAGGCAGCAGUGGGGAAUAGUGCACAAUGGGCGCAAGCCUGAUGCAGCCAUGCCGCGUGUAGGAAGAAGGCCGUCGGGUUGUAAAGUACUUUCAGCGAGGAGGCGUUACUCGCAGAAGAAGCACCGGCUAACUCCGUGCCAGCCGCCGCGGUAAUUC